GACGAACGCUGGCGGCGUGCCUAAUACAUGCAAGUCGAACGCAGUGGGGCCGGGUGAGUAACACGUGGGUAACCUCCCAUCAGAGGGGAUAACACUUGGAAACAGGUGCUAAACCGAUACUGAUGGAUGGACCCGCGGGGCAUUAGCUAGUUGGUGAGGUAACGGCUCACCAAGUCCACGAUGCAUAGCCGGCCGGAGAGGAUGACCGGCCACACUGGGACUGAGACACGGCCCAGACUCCUACGGGAGGCAGCAGUAGGGAAUAUUCGGCAAUGGACGAAAGCCUGACGGAGCAAUGCCGCGUGAGUGAAGAAGGUUUUCGGAUCGUAAAACUCUGUUGUUAGAGAAGCGGUAUCUAACCAGAAAGCCACGGCUAACUACGUGCCAGCAGCCGCGGUAAUAC
rnacentral:rRNA from 1 species